AGUGGGGAAUAUUGCACAAUGGGCGCAAGCCUGAUGCAGCCAUGCCGCGUGUAUGAAGAAGGCCUUCGGGUUGUAAAGUACUUUCAGCGGGGAGGAAGGGAGUAAGGUUAAUAACCUUAUUCAUUGACGUUACCCGCAGAAGAAGCACCGGCUAACUCCGUGCCAGCAGCCGCGGUAAUACGGAGGGUGCAAGCGUUAAUCGGAAUUACUGGGCGUAAAGC
rnacentral:rRNA from 1 species